rnacentral:lncRNA from 1 species
GCUACUUACGCUAGCCAUGGGAUGAUUAGAACAAGAUAAGAGACAUGAGGAAGACUUCUUCAAGGAGGUGCUCAAGCCAUGUUUUGGAAAAGAGAACUCAAGGUCUGGCAGGGAGAAAGGAGCAAGGUCCCCAAGCAUGCUAACCAUGAAGCAGUGAUAUCGCACAGCACCUGCUUCCAGCAGCCCGGAGCCAAGGGGCAAAAUGGAAAGAGUCAGCAUUUCUCUUUUAGGGCAAGUAGAGCUGCAGCUGUCUGGCGCCACUGUAAUGCUGUCUCCUCCUCUGAGUGAGUUCAUCCUGGAAACAUUUUCUCCCAUAAGACAUGCACAGGUCUUACGUUUACAUGUUUCACUGAAAGAAAUUUGAUUCCACUGCUGGGAUGACAAGGAAGACUGAAGAAACCUAAUCCUAGGUGCUGCCACUGGGACAAACAAGAAGCACCAGACACAGUGCUGUUUUAGGGUGGGGCAGAAUUAUGCUGAGGGAAAAGUUAUUAUCACUCUUUAAGGCCAAGGAAACCACAAUUUUUAAAGAAGCUUCUAGAAAUUCUACCCAGUAGAAAAUAAAGAUAAACUUCUGUAAGGAA